rnacentral:tRNA from 1 species
CCGACCUUAGCUCAGUUGGUAGAGCGGAGAAUUGUAGAUGGUUAAAAUAUCAGUUAUCCUUAGGUCGCUGGUUCGAAUCCGGCAGGUCGGA